UACGAAGGGGGCUAGCGUUGCUCGGAAUCACUGGGCGUAAAGCGCACGUAGGCGGAUUGUUAAGUCAGGGGUGAAAUCCUGGAGCUCAACUCCAGAACUCGCCUUUGAUACUGGAAGAUCUUGAGUCCGGGAGAGGUGAGUGGAACUGCGAGUGUAGAGGUGAAAUUCGUAGAUAUUCGCAAGAACACCAGUGGCAGAAG
rnacentral:rRNA from 1 species